rnacentral:lncRNA from 12 species
AUGGAUCUAUUCGUGACAGACGCAAAGACAGGCAGACACUUCGGCACGGGGAGAAAGGCGCUCGAGCGCCGAGCCCCCAUGCGUCGCCGCCAGUUUGCCUUUUUCUUUUUUCUCCCUUUUUUUUUUUUUCUGGAAGGUUUGUUUGUAUGUAUGUAUGUAUGUAUGUAUGUAUGUCUUUACUUAUUUCCUUAUUUGCUUACGUAUUUAUGUAUGUAUUUAUGUACGUACUUCUUUAUUCUUUUAUUUCUUCAUUCAUUUAUUCAUUUAUUCAUUUAUUCAUUCGUUUAUCUAUUUAUUUAUCUUUCAUGUAUUUAUGUAUUUAUGUAUGUAUGUAUGUAUGUAUGUAUGUAUGUAUGUAUGUAUGUAUUUAUUUAUUUAUUUAUUUAUUUAUUUAUUUAUUAUUUAUCAGAGACGGAGAGACGGAGAAGCAGGUUCCAUCCAGAGCGCCUGACCUGGGACUCUGAGCCCGCGUCUCCAGAACCACGCCCUGGGCUGAAGGCGGAGCUCGACCCCCGAGCGGCCGGGCCGUUGCCCCGAGUUUGUCUUUGUUUGUAUGUAUGUGCAUUUAUGUAUGUAUGUAUGUACGUACUUCUUUAUUCUUUUAUUUCUUCAUUCAUUUAUUCAUUUAUUCAUUUAUUCAUUCGUUUAUCUAUUUACUUUUCUUUCAUGUAUUUAUGUAUUUAUGUAUGUAUGUAUGUAUGUAUGUAUGUAUUUAUUUAUCUUUCAUGUAUUUAUGUAUUUAUGUAUGUAUGUAUGUAUGUAUGUAUGUAUUUAUUUAUUUAUUUAUUUAUUUAUUUAUUUAUUUAUUUAUUUAUUUAUUAUUUAUCAGAGACGGAGAGACGGAGAAGCAGGUUCCAUCCAGAGCGCCUGACCUGGGACUCUGAGCCCGCGUCUCCAGAACCACGCCCUGGGCUGAAGGCGGAGCUCGACCCCCGAGCGGCCGGGCCGUUGCCCCGAGUUUGUCUUUGUUUGUAUAGGGCUGAGAGGGAGGCAACCACGGACAAAGCCUGUUUUCCAGGACGAAACCGAGAUGAAGGAACAGGCGGAGGUGGAGGCGGAAGGCUGGAAGGUUGACGGAUAAGAGAAAGGAAAAGAGGGACGGACGCCUGGGUGGCUCAGUGGUUGGGCGGCUGCCUUCCUCUCGGGGCUGGAUGCGGGGCGGGGGUUGGGGAGGUGGAAGGGGUACCCUGGGCUCGUGUGCCCGCAUCGGGUUCCCUGCGGGGAGCCUGCUUCUCCCUCUGCCUGUGUCUCUGCCUCUCUCUCUCUCUGUGACUAUCAUAAAUAAAUAAAAAUUUAAAAAAAAAAAAAAAAGAACG